GCAACGAUGCUCAUUGGAAACCAGUCGAGUAGAAGUCACCAUUUUAUUUGGAAAAUAUCGUAAAAUAAAAGUCGGCCCAUACAUUAAAAUUUAAAAAAAUGACUUAAGUGCACGAAUGAAAGAUUGAUAAACUGUGACUACUUCAUUAACUACAGUAAAGUAGGACCAGGACGAUCACAGAAUCCAGCCUGGAUGCAUUUUAUGGUCUGUGGUGUCUGCUGUAACUGCCAGCGUGAAGGGGAAGGUGCUCUGAAACUUCAAAACAAUGGCCUUGAUGGUGUCGUUGAUGUCGAAUCGAGGUCCGGGGGUGUUGCUGUCCAGGUGGUAGCUGGUACUGCGGUCCAGUUCCAUGAUGGCCCUCUUGAUACACAGCUCAAAGACGUCCUGCUUGUAAGGGAAGAUGGACUGACUGCAGCAAGGGUAGACAGACGCUUCCUCGCAGUCUUGGUUUUCCAUCCACUGUUGGGGAAAAAGGUAAGAAAUGUACUUAAUCUGAUAGCAAUAAACAGGAAGUCACUAUGUGGACGUUUGAAAGCUACACGGUAAAACACGGUAGACCAGGACUUGAUGAGUUGGUAGACAUGUUGCGCUCUUAGUUCUUGUACAGAUUAUAAUCCUCACAAAAUAAAGGGGCAUAAUUUAUAGUCUAACCCAGAGGUCUCAAACACGCGGCCCGCGGGCCAAACGUGGCCCGCAGGACACUAGUUUGAGGCCCCCGCCUUGAUAUGAAAGUUUAAUGUUAGUGUGGCCCCGCGCAAGUUUGAUAUGGAUGCUGUAUGGUAUCAUGUACCCAGAAAAAAUUAUUACC